rnacentral:rRNA from 1 species
CCGCGGUAAUACGGGGGGCGCAAGCGUUGCUCGGAAUCACUGGGCGUAAAGCGUACGCAGGCGGCACGUUAAGUCGGGUGUGACAGCCCGGGGCUCAACCCCGGAAUUGCAUUCGAUACUGGCGCGCUUGAGUACGGGAGAGGGAAGCGGAAUUCCUGGUGUAGAGGUGAAAUUCGUAGAUAUCAGGAGGAACAUCAGUGGCGAAAGCGGCUUCCUGGCCCGAUACUGACGCUCAUGUACGAAAGCGUGGGGAGCAAACAGG